UUCCUCUUCGUCCUCCUCCUCCCGCUCGCUCCCAUAAGCAUUGCCCUCCUCGUCCGUGCGACUACGGGGAGCCCACGUCAUCUUGUUCUCCUUCUUGAGGCGCCGGCGCGCAUUGGCGAACCAGAAGGGAAAGGAAAACAAAACGCAGCAUCACACACCAUCACCACACAAGAACCUCUGAGAUGCUCUUUCCUUAUUGCAUUAACCAGCUAUCGACCUGGUUGUGUCCAAUUGCGAUUGCGGACUGAGAGAAAGAACACCGGAAGAGCCAGGCUGUUCUCAGGAAGGACUCACGCCGACCAGGGGGGCCGCCCCUGGCCCAGAGGGUGAACCUCUAGACCCAGGCACAGCGCACAAAACGCUCGCCGCGGACACUCUGUGGUCUGGGCUCAGGGCACCAGGAGCAUACAGAAAAGGUGUACGCCGAGGACACGUGGCGCGUUGGAGGACAACUACAAGCGGUGCCCGAUGCCAGAGGCCCACCAGCUUCGGGGUCGGACACUCCGAACCAGCAGCCCCCAUCUUUUCCCCUUCCCUGGUCCAGCUCCCAGAGGUGCCUGUGUCCCCCGUCGUUGGGAGCCUCUGUAGCCUUGUGUCUCCCAGCCCGGACAGAGUUCAGUCCUUUCCUCCCAAGGCUCAGAGUCCCCCAGAGGCGGUGCGGGCUGGCUAUCCUUCAGCUUCCUGCAGAGGCUGCUGAGUACGCUGCCCCCCCCCCCCCCAGCUGGGGUUACAGCAGCCACACGGUCUUGCAGAUGCAUGGCCUGGCGAAGCACCGGGAGGAAUUCACAUUUGACUGUGAAUCUGGCAUCCCAGGAGGCGCGGGCCGGGCGCCGGCACGUCUGCCGCGCAACGCUGGCUGAGCCCUGUAAGCCGUCAGGGCCCGGGAGGCUGUCCCUGGUCCAGAGGCUCUACUGGAAACUUUGGGGCAAACUUUGCAAACUUCUUUCUCCGAGUUAAGAGAGGCCGCCGGUCAGAAAUGCUGCGGCGGCGGCAGCAUGGGCUCCAGGCCGGAUUUGUACACCGCCGAACUGGCCCUGCGGCCCCAGAAGGAGCGCGAGGCUCUCCAGCGUGCCUAUCCGUGCCUGCACCUCCCGGACCAGGGCCCCUGCCAUUGGCCUUCGAGUGGCCAGCUCUACGUGGUUCCCGGAAUCUCUGCAUGGAAGGAAAACCGUGGCCCUGUGCACCAGUGGUUUUAUUUCUCUUUUUUCUCUGCAAAAACAUCCAGUUUCCACCUGCGCCGAGCUUUUUCGCUGAUCUUUUUUUUUUCUUUUCCGUCCUGUCUAUUUCUCACACUUUCUGUAUGUUUGAUUUCCGGGGAUGUAUUUUUCUCUUUCUUUGAGUCCAAGUGUGUUGUUUGAUCCUUUUUUAAAAAUUAUUUUUCUGGACCGUUUUCUUAAAGUUCAUUCUUUUUUGCCUCCCCUUUCUGUGUCUCUGCCCCCCUCUUCCUCGGUUUCAUCUUCUUCCUUUUCUCCCUCCCUCUCUUAUCCCAUCUGCCCUAUUUCAAUCUUGAUCUAUCCCAGACUCUCCUUUGCUGGUUUCUUCUCUCUUCCUUUCCUCUGCAGUCUGUCCCCUCCCCCGCCCGUGGAUCUGCUUCUCCGGCAUCCCCUCCCUCCUCAUCCAUCUUGGGAGAUGAAUAUGUCGCCUUAUUGGAUGCGGAGGCCAAAGCAGGGCAAUGGGGCUCGGCCAACGCCGCACAUUUUCUUCAUGCAUAUUGAGAAUAUGGUAAUGAGCGCGUUUUGCAUUGUUGCAUGGAAAUGAUGCGACUCCCUCUGCGGUGCGGAAUGGGCAAGGUUGGUGUGGACCCAAGAGAGCUCGGAAGUAGGGACCGGGCUUGGUGGCCCUAGUGACCCACCGGGGGACGAGGACGUGACCUCUAGAAGCGGCCGGCCCUCCCUCCGCCUGCUCUGGCUUCCAGAAAGGCGUUGCUACGGGGUUAAACCUUGGAGAAGGGAAGCCAGCCUUGCUCGCCUGGCUGUCGCGUCCCUGGUCCGGGCCUGAAAACCCUCUCUCCGCUGUUUAGAGUUCUGGGAAGGAGAGUCUAUGUUCUCUAAUGGCUACACAUUGUUUGCAAUUCGAGUGAUCCUUUAGGAUGAAACAUAGCCCUUGCGCCACGCUUGUCUCCGGCGGGCGGGUGGACAUCCUUUGCCCCGCCAGGUUGAACUCUGGCCAGUUGGCCCUCGGGGACCCACUUCCUUUCUAGACGGGCUCAGUGGAGAUAAGAUUGAACCCCCCAGUUGUCCAACAGAGGUGGCUCUUCCCUGAGGCCAGCCAAGUUCAGGUGAAGGGACCCAGGGCCUGCAGAAGGGUGAAAUUCUGUUGAAGCAGGCCAGGCUCUGCCUGGGACUGGGAAGGAAGAAGUGUUACACUUGCUGGGAGCUCAGAGCCCCGGAACCCAUAUUUAGCAGUCAAACCUCACCACAGCUCACCUCAGGACAUUUUCCUGCCUCCUUCUCCCCCAUUUCCUACUAGGGAAGUCCCUAGCAGGGGCUCCAGGGCCGAAAUGCAUUGUGGAAAGGCAGUGCUGAAUAGGGUCAGGUUUCCCAACCUUCCAGCAUUCUGCCUGUGGCUAAGGACGGAAGAGUUUCGCUUAAACUGAGUCCUUUUCAAAACUCAAGUGCCUCGUUCAGUAAAAGUGUUUGAUCCGUCCCCUACUUCGGCAAACUGGAAAGUAGCUGUUAGCAGAAAGGGGACCUAGCUAGGAGCCUUGCAUCAUCCCACUUGGGGUUCAAGUGCUUCCUGCGUUAUUAACAAGCGUGCUGUGGGUGUGUGAGUAGUGACUCCUGGAAGACAAGAGCAUACAAAACGAAUGUUUCUUCCUUGGUCCUCUUAUGACUUAAAAUGAUGUCAGGGGUCUCAAGGGCUGUCCUGGCUUGCGGCUUGGUGGUGGCGUUUUCUGCUAAAAAACCAGUGUGAAAAUGUUUAAGGCAAAAACAACGUGCUGUAUUAUUAUUACUAGCAAAUAAGCUGAUUUAAACGUUUUCCAGG
rnacentral:lncRNA from 1 species